rnacentral:rRNA from 1 species
UACGUAGGGUGCAAGCGUUGUCCGGAAUUAUUGGGCGUAAAGAGCUCGUAGGCGGUUUGUCGCGUCGGCUGUGAAAACCCGGGGCUCAACCCCGGGCCUGCAGUCGAUACGGGCAAACUAGAGUGUGGUAGGGGAGACUGGAAUUCCUGGUGUAGCGGUGAAAUGCGCAGAUAUCAGGAGGAACACCGGUGGCGAAGGCGGGACUCUGGGCCGAUACUGACGCUGAGGAGCGAAAGCGUGGGGAGCAAACAGG